UGAGACACGGCCCAGACUCCUACGGGAGGCAGCAGUAGGGAAUCUUCCGCAAUGGACGAAAGUCUGAAGGAGCAACGCCGCGUGAGUGAUGAAGGCUUUCGGGUCGUAAAACUCUGUUGUUAGGGAAGAACAAGUGCUAGUUGAAUAAGCUGGCACCUUGACGGUACCUAACCAGAAAGCCACGGCUAACUACGUGCCAGCAGCCGCGGUAAUACGUAGGUGGCAAGCGUUAUCCGGAAUUAUUGGGCGUAAAGCGCGCGCAGGUGGUUUCUUAAGUCUGAUGUGAAAGCCCACGGCUCAACCGUGGAGGGUCAUUGGAAACUGGGAGACUUGAGUGCAGUAGAGGAAAGUGGAAUUCCAUGUGUAGCGGUGAAAUGCGUAGAGAUAUGGAGGAACACCAGUGGCGAAGGCGACUUUCUGGUCUGUAACUGACACUGAGGCGCGAAAGCGUGGGGAGCAAACAGGAUUAGAUACCUUGGUAGUCCACGCCGUAAACGAUGAGUGCUAAGUGUUAGAGGGUUUCCGCCC
rnacentral:rRNA from 1 species